CUUGCGGCCAUGUCACGUUAAAACACCGGUUCUUGUACGAUCACAGAAGGUAAGCAACGUCGAGCUUGGUCAAUAACUAGAUGGGUGUCCGCUUGGGAAUACCAGGUGCAGU